rnacentral:rRNA from 1 species
UGAAUAAGAACACAGGGAUUGCCUUAGUAGCGGCGAGUGAAGCGGCAAAAGCUCAAAUUUGAAAUCUGGCACCUUCGGUGUCCGAGUUGUAAUUUGAAGAUUGUAACCUUGGGGUUGGCUCUUGUCUAUGUUUCUUGGAACAGGACGUCACAGAGGGUGAGAAUCCCGUGCGAUGAGAUGCCCAAUCCUAUGUAAGGUGCUUUCGAAGAGUCGAGUUGUUUGGGAAUGCAGCUCUAAGUGGGUGGUAAAUUCCAUCUAAAGCUAAAUAUUGGCGAGAGACCGAUAGCGAACAAGUACAGUGAUGGAAAGAUGAAAAGAACUUUGAAAAGAGAGUGAAAAAGUACGUGAAAUUGUUGAAAGGGAAGGGUUUGAGAUCAGACUCGAUAUUUUGUGAGCCUUGCCUUCGUGGCGGGGUGACCCGCAGCUUAUCGGGCCAGCAUCGGUUUGGGCGGUAGGAUAAUGGCGUAGGAAUGUGACUUUGCUUCGGUGAAGUGUUAUAGCCUGCGUUGAUGCUGCCUGCCUAGACCGAGGACUGCGAUUUUAUCAAGGAUGCUGGCAUAAUGAUCCCAAACCGCCCGUCUUGAAACACGGACCAAGGAGUCUAACGUCUAUGCGAGUGUUUGGGGUGGAA